rnacentral:snRNA from 9 species
AUACUUACAUGGGCGGGGUCGAUAGAUGAUCAGGAGGGUCAAUGGCCUAGGAUGGCCACCUCCAUUGCACUUCGGAGGGGGGUCUACCUAGCAUCUCCCACACCAAACC